rnacentral:tRNA from 1 species
GAACCGGUAGUGUAGUGGAUAACACGCCAUGUCCAGAUGUGAAGAGGAGCGGUUCAAUUCCCUCUCGGUGCA